UGAAAAAUGUAAAGAAGUUCUACACACAGCACUGUUUUAUUGGGUUGGAACCAUUGUGUCUUUGCAAUGGCAUAACUCAGAUGAAGAAAUUUACUUAAGGAUAGUUUUUUAUAUGUAUAGACUUGUAUGGAAUUUUAUCUGUGAGAAUACAACUAUUUAAAAAAAUAAUCAAGAUCUAUUCUUGAAUUAAAUGCCAUGAAGUGUUUCUUCAAACAAAUGGAUGGCAAAAGAAAAAGCAUCCAUUGUACAAAAGGCUUUUUUGAGGAUUCAGUUGAUUUUAAAGAACAAGCUAUUGUAGUCACUGCAAUGUACUUUUGCCAAUGAAGAAAAUCAUCAUUCUUGUACCAUCAUACUAAGGAAUAAAAUAAAGCUCUUUUUAAGAACUUCUGUGA